GUGCCAGCCGCCGCGGUAAUACGGAGGGUGCAAGCGUUAUCCGGAUUCACUGGGUUUAAAGGGUGCGUAGGUGGGCAGUUAAGUCAGUGGUGAAAUCUCCGGGCUUAACCCGGAAACUGCCAUUGAUACUAUCUGUCUUGAAUGCCGUGGAGGUAAGCGGAAUAUGUCAUGUAGCGGUGAAAUGCUUAGAUAUGACAUAGAACACCAAUUGCGAAGGCAGCUUACUACACGAAAAUUGACACUGAGGCACGAAAGCGUGGGGAUCAAACAGGAUUAGAUACCCCUGUAGUCC
rnacentral:rRNA from 1 species